rnacentral:lncRNA from 1 species
GUCUUCCCGCACUUAGAAGAUUUUAAUAUGCCAAGAAUUCUCUCCUUACAAUAAAUAUUAGUGGGAAGAUUCAAGAUAUCAGCUUCAUGAGGUAUAACUGGCAACAAACUGAACAUCUUUAAAGUGCAAAUCUGAUGAAACUGACAUAUGUAUGUAUCCAUUAAACCACCACCAUAAUCAAGCACCUCCUAAACUUGAAUGCCUAUGUCUAAAAGAACAAGAUGGUCAAGGUUGAGGUUCCCAGGCAUACAAUUGUCCCAACCAAGAGGCAUAUCUCUCAGGAUUUGUCAGCUCACCAAAGAAGUAAAAACCUGGAGGAAAGGAUUCACCUUUCAAGCCUCAAAUCAUGUUCACUGCAAAUGUCCGAAGAAUUGAGGCAGACACCUGAAUGGGGAGGUCAGUUUUCAGCUUCAUCCCCUGUGAAGUGACACAGACUUGUUCCUGCUGGUCUAUUUCAACAUAAAUGAUAAGCAGACAAACAAGCAAGUGCCACCACCUGGCAUUUGACAGCGCGAGGAUGAAGUUUUCACACACCUGCUCAGAUGUUCUACAGUGAGACAGCUGCCUGCACCACUUCCUAACUAAAUCUGGAGGAAUAAAAGUGCACUGUCAGCAUUCCUCACUCCCACAUUUCCCCCAGACUGUGAAGCACCAUACGGCAAGUGUCAAGCUCAGCUCCGCACUGCUUGCGGUAACCAAGGAACAAUGCAUGGGUCCCGCGUGCCAGGGGGAGACGGUGAUUAAAG